rnacentral:rRNA from 1 species
AACGGUCAUACCAUGCUGAAUAUACCGGUUCUCGUUAGAUCACCGAAGUCAAGCAUCAUUGGGCGCGGUCAGUACUUGGGUGGGUGACCUCCUGGGAACACCGCGUGCCGUU